rnacentral:tRNA from 1 species
GCUAUUUUGGCAGAAUGUUAGUGCAACAGAUUUAGGAUCUGUAUAUAUGAUUAAUUUCAUAAGUAGUA